rnacentral:rRNA from 1 species
GGACACGUGGUAUCCUGUCUGAAUAUGGGGGGACCAUCCUCCAAGGCUAAAUACUCCUGACUGACCGAUAGUGAACCAGUACCGUGAGGGAAAGGCGAAAAGAACCCCGGCGAGGGGAGUGAAAAAGAACCUGAAACCGUGUACGUACAAGCAGUGGGAGCCCCACCACUAAGCCAGUGGUGAACUCCACAUACGCAUCCUUUGCUGAGGAUACGGUUAACGGAGCGAAAGCGACGUUCAACCGCAAAASAAGCAGAGGGGGCUUAGUGGUGGGGUGACUGCGUACCUUUUGUAUAAUGGGUCAGCGACUUAUAUUCUGUAGCAAGGUUAACCGAAUAGGGGAGCCGKAGGGAAACCGAGUCUUAAYYGGGCGUUAAGUUGCAGGGUAUAGACCCGAAACCCGGUGAUCUAGCCAUGGGCAGGUUGAAGGUUGGGUAACACUAACUGGAGGACCGAACCGACUAAUGUUGAAAAAUUAGCGGAUGACCUGUGGCUGGGGGUGAAAGGCCAAUCAAACCGGGAGAUAGCUGGUUCUCCCCGAAAGCUAUUUAGGUAGCGCCUCGUGAAUUCAUCUCCGGGGGU